rnacentral:misc_RNA from 1 species
ACGACCUGCCCGUUGAAUACAACUGAACAGUAUGCGAUUUUUUGGGGUUGUUGUCUACUUUGUCAUAGCAACUUGUGGCAGGGUAUGCGCGAAUAGCGAUGUUGCAGCACAUUUAGAUGCGCUUUCUAGACGCGCCAUUAGCCCUACGAAUGUGAAGCUAAAUGCCACCGUCUUACAUAACUUGAAUACCUUUAUGCAUUCUAUACAACAUGUACAACACUCUCUCUUGGAAAAGCUACAUUUAAGUCACCUGGUUACACUUCACGGGAAUGCCACGUAAGUUAUUAUCAUCCAUGUUGAUCAUUUUUUAAUAUAAUAAUGAUAUUUCAGCUAUAAAAUAAUUACCAUAUAUAUUGAAUGCAGGUAAGAACAACGGUGGAAUUGUCAUCUUGAAAAAAGGCACCAUUGUUUACGUUGGCGAAAAUAUUUUUUCAUACAUGUAAUAAUGGAUACAUGUACAUCAACAUCAACUGAUGUUAAAUUACAUUUGCAUUUUCCUUUUUUUAAACGCAUUGAUGACAUCAGAAAAGGUCUAUGAUAUAAACCAUACAGGCAUACACUUCAUGCAGUAAAGAUAACGCCUGUUGUCUGAACAGGUUCCUGUUGCUAUGCUUUAUCAACAUAAAGGACACAAUUUUAUUUUUCAGAGGAAAAACAUGUCUUGACCAAUCACAUUUAACAUAGUUAAAAAAAUUCAUAUUAAUGAACAACAUGAUAAACAUAAAAAUUAAGUUAAUUUAAUUUAUUUAUCAUUGUGAUGGUUCAUUCAUAUUUAAUCGUUCAAAAGAAUUUACACAACAAAAAGAAUAUGUGUUUCAAUUUACACAACCUUUUAGUAACCACUGGUGCUGUAACGUGGCCACAACCAGAAGAAUCGUCCAAAGUCAUUCAAAGUUGAUAUACACCAAGCAGGUUAAGGACAGAGUCAGUCAUCAUCACUGCGGAUUUCUGGGAUUGAGUCGAUGUGCCAGGCAUCAUUAUUACUACGUGUAAGAUACUAGUAUUCAGAAACGUUGCUUACAUGUACCUUAUCAUAAAUCAACGUUUGCAUUUUCAUUUUCCAGUUGCAUCAAACACUGUAUGUGAUCCCCAAGAUGAUAUUAGUCUAGAUAAAUAUAUAUACUCUAUCAAACUUCCUUUGCAUCUUGCUGUCUGAUUAUAAAGUUAAGCUUGCAUUGUUUUGUCCAUUACUAGCCUUACGGGGGUUUUUUUUGCAGUGUUUUUGUUACCCCCUGUUUUCAUCUUUAUUUCAUGUACGUAAAUAUAAAAAUUAAUUUUAAAUUCAGAUCUGUUCCAGCGUACAAAACGACUUACACUUAUCGAACCAUUCACACAACAUGUCCAAGUAGUCAUCUGGUCUGUUGCAAAGAUUAUAUUCUUGUAGCAGACAACUGUAUUCGUAAGUUGCUUAUGCUUUCUUUUUAAAAUCUAUGAUAUUUCUCCUUAAUUACAUCCUGGUAACUUUUAUCUACAGCUUUGUUUACAUAAGAGAGCGGUGUGAGCCCUGUAUCUUGCAUAUAACUCGACGAUUGACACUCAAAAUGGUUGACCAUAAAAAUGCGUCACUGAAGCAUCGUGCACAUUUAAAACGAAAAAACAAAUUUUGACCACAAUGUUGACCGUGCUUCUUUAAAAAAUAAGUUUUAAGUAUGAGUUUCACCAUAUAACAUUGUUUCCUUAUUUGUUAUUAUAGCCCUGAGUGAGAUUCCGAACAUCAAGGACGAUCUGAUAAAACUGCAUAAUGCCAACAUUCCAGUCGGGCGAUAAAUCUCCUUCUAGAUGUUGUCGAAAUAAAAGAUGCAAAUUGC